AACGAACGCUGGCGGCAGGCUUAACACAUGCAAGUCGAACGAUCUCUUCGGAGAUAGUGGCAGACGGGUGAGUAACGCGUGGGAACCUACCUUAUUCUACGGAAUAACACAGAGAAAAUUUGUGCUAAUACCGUAUACGCCCUUUGGGGGGAAAAGAUUUUAUCGGAGUAAGAUGGGCCCGCGUUGGAUUAGCUAGUUGGUGGGUAAUGGCCUACAAGGCGACGAUCUAUAGCUGGUCUGAGAGGAUGAUCAGCCACACUGGACUGAGACACGGCCCAGACUCCUACGGGAGCAGCAGU
rnacentral:rRNA from 1 species